UACGGAGGGGGCGAGCGUUAUUCGGAAUUAUUGGGCGUAAAGCGCGCGCAGGCGGUCAAUUAAGUCUGGUGUAUAAACCAAGGGCUCAACCUUUGGACGCAUUGGAAACUGGUUGACUGGAGUGUAGGAGAGGAAAGUGGAAUUCCACGUGUAGCGGUGAAAUGCGUAGAGAUGUGGAGGAACACCGGUGGCGAAGGCGGGUCUCUGGGCCGUAACUGACGCUGGAGGAGCGAAAGCAUGGGGAGCGAACAGG
rnacentral:rRNA from 1 species